UACGUAGGGGGGCGAGCGUUGUCCGGAAUUAUUGGGCGUAAAGAGCUCGUAGGCGGUUUGUCGCGUCUGCCGUGAAAGUCCGGGGCUCAACUCCGGAUCUGCGGUGGGUACGGGCAGACUAGAGUGAUGUAGGGGAGACUGGAAUUCCUGGUGUAGCGGUGAAAUGCGCAGAUAUCAGGAGGAACACCGAUGGCGAAGGCAGGUCUCUGGGCAUUAACUGACGCUGAGGAGCGAAAGCAUGGGGAGCGAACAGG
rnacentral:rRNA from 1 species